rnacentral:rRNA from 1 species
GUGGGGAAUCUUCCGCAAUGGACGAAAGUCUGACGGAGCAACGCCGCGUGAGUGAACAAGGUUUUCGGAUCGUAAAGCUCUGUUGUUUGAGACGAAUGUGCAAUUUUUGAAUAAGGAAUUGUAAUGACGGUAUUAAACGAGAAAGCCACGGCUAACUACGUGCCAGCAGCCGCGGUAAUACGUAGGUGGCAAGCGUUGUCCGGAAUUAUUGGGCGUAAAGGGAGCGCAGGUGGGAAAGUCAGUCGAUUUUAAAAGUGCGGGGCUCAACCCCGUGAGGGAAUCGAAACUACUUUUCUUGAGUGCAGGAGAGGAAAGCGGAAUUCCUAGUGUAGCGGUGAAAUGCGUAGAUAUUAGGAGGAACACCAGUGGCGAAGGCGGCUUUCUGGACUGUAACUGACACUGAGGCUCGAAAGCCAGGGGAGCGAACGGGAUUAGAAACCCGUGUAGUCC